rnacentral:lncRNA from 1 species
GCGAAUUCGAGAUCUAGAAGAUAAAAUAGAACUUCAAAAGAGGCAACUCAAAGAAAUUGAGGAAAAGCAUUCAUUCUGUGGCCUUGAUGACACAACUGAGCCAAGACGUGUGGCUAUUAAAAGAACUUAUGGAGUGAAAAGCUGAGUCCACGUGCAAAAACACAGAAAAUAUUUAUUAAGCAGCUUUAAAUUGGUGCAUUUUUUCAUAAAGCAGUUUGCAUAAUACUUGAAGCUGCAAAAUAUUUGAACUUGAAAUUAGAGAUUUUUUAAA